AAGACUUUGCUUUCAGGGGUCAUUUCUAGAUUUCAUUCCUAGAGAAGUUUCUCUGACCAUGUGGAGCACCAGGAACCAUGAGCAGGCGUCGGAGCCGCCUCUCCUAAGCGUGAAGCCGUCUCUAGGGUCGCUUUUGCAGCUGCCUUUUACCAUUGAUGACUGUUCUUCCUUUGGAAGAGUGAGAGGACAGGGUGGAAUCUGAGAGCU